UUAUGAUGUUAAGGUACUUACCGAAAAUUCGAUAACGCGUUUCGAAAGUUUGGGACGUGUUAAAAAAAUCUUGGCUAAGGUUUUUGGUGUUUUGACGGGACGUUCAUUUCUUAUUAGUGAAAAAAAUACCCACAAAAUAGAUAUCGCAUCACGAUGUCAUUGUGACGCCUACACAGUGUUUCUUUAUUAUUUUGUUGUAAACGCUGUAUUAUCUAACUUUCACCAUGUACCAUAAGUGUAGUGUAGACGAAAGGACGUAAAUGGAACGCCGAUGGGACGACGCCGAUAGAACCAAUAAGUUGGUCUGUUUGGGACAGUCGCUAGUGAAAAAAAGUGGCAGAAGUCUGAGAAUGCAAUUCACUAAAACAUUUAUUACUUUUAAGAAAAUGUCUCUCAUGAGCACAAUUUUUGCAAGAGGAGACUGCAUGACGACCAUUCCUACAGCAAAGUUGAAGUUCCAGAGAAACGUAUAAGAGUCGAAAGUGAUGCACCCAUUUACUCCACCCCUCGACGCCUUAGACGAAGAAGGCGUAUGAUUGUCACGAAAAAAUCUCUUGACAUCAAUUUGUGCAAGAAUUUACUCUGAGUACAUGAGAUCCAGCAAACAAUUA